UACGGAGGGGGCUAGCGUUGUUCGGAAUUCCUGGGCGUAAAGCGCGCGUAGGCGGACCUGCAAGUCGGGGGUGAAAGCCCAAGGCUCAACCUCGGAACUGCCUUCGAUACUGCGGGUCUCGAGUCCGGGAGAGGUGAGUGGAAUUCCUAGUGUAGAGGUGAAAUUCGUAGAUAUUAGGAAGAACACCAGUGGCGAAGGCGGCUCACUGGCCCGGUACUGACGCUGAGGCGCGAAAGCGUGGGGAGCAAACAGG
rnacentral:rRNA from 1 species